ACUUACCUAGAAGUCUUGAUUAUAAAGUCAAAAAAUCCUUCGAAUAGGACUAUAAAGUCCAAACAAUCUUUGAUUAGGAUUAACGGUGUGAGAAGCCUUCGAUUAGGAUUAUGAGUGUGAAGAUUAAACUAAUUGUGAAUAAUGUUUACAAAUUGUAGAAUUAGCCGAUUAUGAAUUACAACAUUAAUUAAUAACCUAAUCUCAAUGUAUGAUUGGAAGAUUAUGUGUGUCUGAGUGAUCAGUUUUUGAUGGUUUGAUUGCUCGUUCGUCUCCUGGUAAGUGAGGAUUAAUAGAUUAUAUUUUCAAAAUUUUAAUGGAUCUUAAAUAAGUUUGACUAUAUUAUUUUAUAUAUAAUCUAUAUUUUUUUAUAUAUAUUAAAAUAUAAAGUUAGCGGUUCGGUUCAUAAUGGUUCGGUUAACCUAUAAAACUAUAACCGAACCGUUAGUUAUUGGUUAACAAAAAUUAGAAACCGAACCAACGGUUUUUAAAAUGGUUCGGUUAUAUCGGUUAAUUUGGUUUUGGUUCGGUUUUUCGGUUAUUAUGCUCACCCCUAGAAAAAAGACAUCCAAGCAUUAUUCGCUUUAAAAAUACCUCAAAGUUCAUGGGUCCUUUCCUUUCACACACGCGCACAAAUACACAUCUUUUAUUUGCUUUUGAAGAGUAGCAGUCACCAUUAUGUCAAAUAUGUUGUAUAGGAAUAUUAACAGUCGGAUGCCUCAACAUAGUCACCUGUAUUUAUAGAAGAAACAUAAAAAUAUUGCUAUGAAAUUAUAAUACAAAUUUACAUGGCUAGACUAUGCUUGUGGUGAUAAAGAUGAGAAUUUUACAAAAGAAAACCAUUAUCUUAAAAGUGAAUGUGAAGAAGGUGUAAUUGUUUAUACCUCAUUCCAAAAAAACUGUAUUCAAAAGCUUAACAUGAGUAGGCUGAUAAAGCCAUAUCACACCCAAGAUUAAAAAAAUAAAAAUAAAAAAAUAAAAAAACCCUGAAUACAGGGCUUUUAAAACGAAUGAGUUAAUUCUAGUGUUGGCUGCAACAUAAUAUGCCAACCAUAACAGUUAAAAGGAACUCAAAUUAGCAACAACGUUGACUGGGAAACAAAUGAGCUAAACAUCAAUAGCAAGUACGAAACAAAUGUAAGAAGUACCUAAACGGACGAUUCUACGGUUCCAAAAUCAAGUGGCAUCAACAUGGACACUAUGGAAUGGAAUAUCAAAUUCCAAUUCUACCAGAAUCCUUGAACUGUACAUUCCAUUACAAUCAAUAAUAUAAUGAUUGGGACAAAUCACGAAGCAUGUUGACAUAAAAGAACUGAUUACUAUGAUAUAUGUAAAAUUACCCAACUACCCUUAGCUUUAACCAACAAAUUAGGAUCUUAGUUUCCAUAGAGCAAAAUUAGGUGGAUAUCUUUCCUGGAGUUAAUUGCUACUUGUUCACAGUCAUGAUUAUUUUCCAAGUUCUGCCUUGAAAGUCAUCACUAUUUAGGAAACCAAUCAACUGAAAAGUAUGCAUCACCUUCAACUCUGUAGACACAUCCAUUACCAAGGGUCUGUGAAAUGUAAACAUCAAUAAGAAAUGGGAAGUAUAAUAAAUGGCAAAGUACUUUCAUUUCAUAUAAUUUUUUCAGUCACUUCAAGGAACAAUAAGAAGAUAUAUGGUUUAGCAUAUUAAUGAUUUGGGCUAUGAGAUUUGAAACACAAGAUUAAACAUUACGAGAAAAGAAAGGAAUAUAUGUCUUGUCUCGAUGAAAUUCCAACCAUUCCCCCAAUUUUGAUCCUCUUGGGUUUCCAUCUCUUCGUGGUGGUGGAGACCACAAUGUUGGGUGGUUGAAGACGUAACCAUGAGUAGGACAAAUACAUGCCUCAAAUAAAAACACCUACAAUGAAUUUCACAAAGAAAAUCUGGUUAAUUUAUAAAAUCCAAUGAAAACCAGAAUAAGAGGAGCCACAAGAACCUAAAAAUCAAAAAGUGAAAUCGAUGAUACACAGUGAAGCGUUUGAGGUGAGCGAAGAUGGCUAUAAAUGAUAGUUAAAGCUAGGAUUUCAUUAAGAGAAAGAGGAGAAAAUAUCACUUAGAGAGAGAGAGAGAGAGAGAGAGAGAGUCUUACCUGGAGGGCGGUGACCGGAACAAACAGUCGUGGUGGCGGUUUCGACUUCAUCAGAUUCCUAAAAAUCCAAUAAAAACAUAAAUUACAAAGAGUUGGUAUCAGUAAAAUAGAUAAUGGUGGUAGAGACGACGAUGUGUGCGGUAAACAUCAUGUUUAGGGUUUUAUCGCCAGAGAUAGGUGAAUAGAAAAUGGGAGACGAUGAGGUAGACAAUGGUGAUGUGUGGUAAAGGUCGUGUAGUCAAGGUGAAGGUGCGAUUGUUUUAGCAGUGCAGGUGACGAUGAAGGGAGUAAAAAACAAAAAACAACAAAAUAAAUAAACAAAUAAAUAAGGAGGGUAAGAAAUUUGAGAGGUGAAUAAAAAGGUGUUAAUU
rnacentral:lncRNA from 1 species